AAGACGAAACACACAAUCAAUGGAUUCGGGAAGCCAGCACGGGAUAGGUCUGUCACCGUUAUCCGGUGGACCGAAUGUAGGUACCCCCAGCCAAGUUAAACGUCCUUGGAGUGGGAGCUCCAACAUGAGGUCCGAUAACGAUGUGGGAACUGAUACGCCAAGGAACAAGUUUCGCAAGGGGGAAAGAUCAAGACGAAUGUGGA